CGGACUCAUCCGUGAGCGGCGGCGCUGAUUCUCACCGAGGGCCCGACGUGAAUGCAGAAAAAUGAGUCUGGAAAAUUCAGCGAGCUAAAGUUGGGGACAUUUGCCUCCAGAGUUCGCUUUGCUUGUGAAGCAGAUAUCACGCCAGCAUCAUGUCGGGCUACAGCAUCAGAGAGUGUGAGAGAGGGGGUCUGUUUUUGUCUUUGGUUAUCUAGCUGUAUGAGUGUUAAAUACCUGUCAUAAAGCUAGAUAACCGAAAGUAGAAAUGACUUCCGUAGCCGUGUGUGCGUACCCGAAAGAAAAGGGCGCUCCGGCUGUAGAGUCACCAAGUUGGAUUUUGAAGUUCACCUCCAACAGGCUUCUGAAUAACACUGAAAGCUGUGGGAUUCCUGAAAGGAUCCACCAUUAGAAGAAAAUAAAAAGAAAGGACCUCCCCUCUCCCACCUUCACCCCUUUUUUGCCCGAGAGCCCCUGAUGCCAUCUGCACUGCCAAUGUGGGCGCUUGGCCUGUGCCAGGAGGGGGACAAAGACCGUGCCAGGAGGGGGACAAAGACCUUGCCGGAUACCCUGCGGAGUAAGGGCUUGCACAGAGGAGCCAUCUUGAGAGAUGUUUGCCGUGACACCUAAAAUGGCUGGGCUGGCACACGAGGAUGGGACAGGACCUGCAUCUCUGCACUCUGUAGGACUCUGAAGGCCUGGAAGAAAACUCAUCAGACUGUUGUCCUAACAGAAUAUAAAAUUUAACGAAACUGAAACCUGAGUGUAUCAUCGAAAUAAAGUAGAAACAGCAGGUUUACUAUGAAACACAUUAUUCAAGAUCAAGGCCUCGGUUAAGCAAAAACAACAAAACCCUAUUUUAAGACAUUGUGAAUGUAAUGCCAUAUAUGAUCUGAUAUGUUUAUACUGAUGUCUUUUGUUUAAAUUGUUUAAAAACUGUUAAUAAAUCACUUUUUUCCCCACUAAAUUAUGUUAGUAUAUUUUCACAGUA